rnacentral:tRNA from 1 species
AGAACCGUUCCCUCAGCUAGGUAGCGUGCCACACUGGGGGUGUGGAGGUCGGGAGUUCAAAUCUCCCCGGUCCGACCA